GACGAACGCUGGCGGCGUGCUUAACACAUGCAAGUCGAGCGGUAAGGCCCUUUCGGGGGUACACGAGCGGCGAACGGGUGAGUAACACGUGAGCAACCUGCCCUUCUCUUUGGAAUAAGCGUUGGAAACGACGUCUAAUGCCGAAUAUGACUUCCUUUCGCAUGAUGGGGAGUGGAAAGCUCUGGCGGAGAAGGAUGGGCUCGCGGCCUAUCAGCUAGUUGGUGAGGGUAAUGGCCCACCAAGGCGACGACGGGUAGCCGGCCUGAGAGGGUGACCGGCCACACUGGGACUGAGACACGGCCCAGACUCCUACGGGAGGCAGCAGUGGGGAAUAUUGGACAAUGGGCGAAAGCCUGAUCCAGCAACGCCGCGUGAGGGAUGACGGCCUUCGGGUUGUAAACCUCUUUCAGCAGGGACGAAGCGAGAGUGACGGUACCUGCAGAAGAAGGACCGGCCAACUACGUGCCAGCAGCCGCGGUAACAC
rnacentral:rRNA from 1 species